rnacentral:rRNA from 1 species
UACGAAGGGGGCUAGCGUUGCUCGGAAUCACUGGGCGUAAAGGGUGCGUAGGCGGGUCUUUAAGUCAGGGGUGAAAUCCUGGAGCUCAACUCCAGAACUGCCUUUGAUACUGAGGAUCUUGAGUUCGGGAGAGGUGAGUGGAACUGCGAGUGUAGAGGUGAAAUUCGUAGAUAUUCGGAGGAACACCAGUGGCGAAGGCGACUUACCGGACACAUAUUGACGCUGAGGUGCGAAAGCGUGGGGAGCAAACAGG